GACCUUGAAAUACCACCCUUUAAUGUUUGAUGUUCUAACGUGGGCCCCUAAUCGGGGUUGCGGACAGUGUCUGGUGGGUAGUUUGACUGGGGCGGUCUCCUCCUAAAGAGUAACGGAGGAGCACGAAGGUUGGCUAAUCCUGGUCGGACAUCAGGAGGUUAGUGCAAUGGCAUAAGCCAGCUUGACUGCGAGCGUGACGGCGCGAGCAGGUGCGAAAGCAGGUCAUAGUGAUCCGGUGGUUCUGAAUGGAAGGGCCAUCGCUCAACGGAUAAAAGGUACUCCGGGGAUAACAGGCUGAUACCGCCCAAGAGUUCAUAUCGACGGCGGUGUUUGGCACCUCGAUGUCGGCUCAUCACAUCCUGGGGCUGAAGUAGGUCCCAAGGGUAUGGCUGUUCGCCAUUUAAAGUGGUACGCGAGCUGGGUUUAGAACGUCGUGAGACAGUUCGGUCCCUAUCUGCCGUGGGCGCUGGAGAACUGAGGGGGGCUGCUCCUAGUACGAGAGGACCGGAGUGGACGCAUCACUGGUGUUCGGGUUGUCAUGCCAAUGGCACUGCCCGGUAGCUAAAUGCGGAAGAGAUAAGUGCUGAAAGCAUCUAAGCACGAAACUUGCCCCGAGAUGAGUUCUCCCUGAGACUUAGAGUCUCCUGAAGGAACGUUGAAGACGACGACGUUGAUAGGCCGGGUGUGUAAGCGCAGCGAUGCGUUGAGCUAACCGGUACUAAUGAACCGUGAGGCUUAACCUUACAACGCCGAAG
rnacentral:rRNA from 1 species